CCUACGGGAGGCAGCAGUGAGGAAUAUUGGUCAAUGGGCGCGAGCCUGAACCAGCCAAGUAGCGUGAAGGAUGACUGCCCUACGGGUUGUAAACUUCUUUUAUAAAGGAAUAAAGUGAGGCACGUGUGCCUUUUUGUAUGUACUUUAUGAAUAAGGAUCGGCUAACUCCGUGCCAGCAGCCGCGGUAAUACGGGGGAUGCAAGCGUUAUCCGGAUUUAUUGGGUUUAAAGGGUGCGUAGGCUGUGAGGUAAGUCAGCGGUGAAAUGCCCCCGCUCAACGGGGUGAAGUGCCAUUGAUACUGGCUUGCUGGAAUGCGGAUGCCGUGGGAGGAAUGUGUGGUGUAGCGGUGAAAUGCAUAGAGAUCACACAGAACACCGAUUGCGAAGGCAUCUCUCGAAUCCGCGAUUGACGCUGAUGCACGAAAGCGUGGGUAUCAAACAGGAUUAGAUACCCCUGUAGUC
rnacentral:rRNA from 1 species